GGUGCACGGGUGAGUAACGCGUGGCAACCUGAAACUAGGUAUCGGAAUAACAGUGAGAAAUGACAUGCUAAUAGCCGGAUAAUGUCUUCGGACCAAAAAUUUAUCGCCUUUAGGAUGGGCCCGCGCCGCUAUCAGCUAGUUGGUGGGGUAAAGGCCUACCAAGGCGACGAUCCGGUAGCCGGCCUGAGAGGAUGACCAGCCACACUAGGACUGAGACACGGCCCAGACUCCUACGGGAGGCAGCAGUGGAGAAUAUUGCACAAUGGGCGGAUAGCCUGAUGCAGCGACGCCGCGUGAGGGAUGAAGGCCUUACGGUUGUAAACCUCUUU
rnacentral:rRNA from 1 species